CAGCAGUCGUAGCGGUCGCGGAACGCGGCGCGGUCGCCGUCCACCAGCUCCUCCACGUACGAGUUGGACCCUCCCGCGACGAUGGGCAGGCGGCCGCGCGCGGUGAUGGCGCGCGCGGCGCGGGUCGCCUCGCGCCGGAAGUCCGCGGCCGUGAACUCCUCGUCGGGCCGCGCCACCCCGAGCAGGUGGUGCGGCACGCCGGCGCGCUCCUGCUCGGUCACCUUGUUCGUGGUCACGUCCAGGCCGGCGUGCAGCUGGAUCUUGUCCGAGUUGAUGACCUCGCCGCCGAACCGGAGCGCCAGGUCCACCGCCAGCCGCGACUUGCCGGUCCCCGUGGCGCCCAUCACCACCACGGCCUUGUGCUUCGCUCCGGCAUGCCUGUUGUUGGCACUGACCAGCGG
rnacentral:misc_RNA from 1 species